rnacentral:rRNA from 1 species
GAUGAACGCUAGCGGCAGGCUUAAUACAUGCAAGUCGAGGGGCAGCACAGGUAGUAAUACUGGGUGGCGACCGGCAAACGGGUGCGGAACACGUACACAACUUACCUUAGAGUGGGGGAUAGCCCAGGGAAACUUGGAUUAAUACCCCAUAAAACAGGGGGCCCGCAUGGGCAUAUUGUUAAAGAUUUAUCGCUUUAAGAUGGGUGUGCGUAUGAUUAGGUAGUUGGUAGGGUAAAGGCCUACCAAGCCGACGAUCAUUAACUGGUGUGAGAGCACGACCAGUCACACGGGCACUGAGACACGGGCCCGACUCCUACGGGAGGCAGCAGUAAGGAAUAUUGGUCAAUGGACGGAAGUCUGAACCAGCCAUGCCGCGUGAAGGAUGAAGGUCCUCUGGAUUGUAAACUUCUUUUAUAGGGGGCGAAAAAGGGCCAUUCUUGGUCAACUGACGGUACCCUAUGAAUAAGCACCGGCUAACUCUGUGCCAGCAGCCGCCGUAA